rnacentral:rRNA from 1 species
UACGUAGGGACCAAGCGUUGUUCGGAUUUACUGGGCGUAAAGGGCGCGUAGGCGGCUUGGCAAGUCGGAUGUGAAAUCCCUCGGCUCAACCAAGGAAGUGCAUCCGAAACUGCUGAGCUUGAGUACUUAAGAGGAUCGCGGAAUUCCCGGUGUAGAGGUGAAAUUCGUAGAUAUCGGGAGGAACACCGGUGGCGAAGGCGGGGUCUCUGGGCAACUACUGACGCUGAGGAGCGAAAGCGUGGGGAGCGAACAGG